rnacentral:rRNA from 1 species
AAUGAACGCUGGCGGCAGGCCUAACACAUGCAUGUCGAACGGAUCCUUCGGGAUUAGUGGCGGACGGGUGCGUAACGCGUGGGAACAUACCCAAAGGUACGGAAUAGCCUCGGGAAACUGGGAGUAAUACCGUAUGUGCUCGAAAGAGGAAAGAUUUAUCGCCUUUGGAUUAGCCCGCGUUGGAUUAGGUAGUUGGUGGAGUAAUGGCCUACCAAGCCGACGAUCCAUAGCUGGUUUGAGAGGAUGAUCAGCCACACUGGGACUGAGACACGGCCCAGAGUCCGACGGGAAGCAGAGGUGGGGAAUCUUAGACAAUGGGGGAAACCCUGAUCGAGCCAUGCCGGAUGAUCGAUGAAGGCCUUAGGGUUGUAAAGUUCUUUCAGGUGGGAAGAUAAUGACUGUACCACCAGAAGAGGCCCCGGCUAACUCCGUGCCAGCAGCCGCCGUAA